AAGGAAUAUUGGUCAAUGGACGCAAGUCUGAACCAGCCAUGCCGCGUGAAGGAUGAAGGUCCUCUGGAUUGUAAACUUCUUUUAUCUGGGACGAAACACUCCUUUUCUAAGGGGCCUGACGGUACCAGAGGAAUAAGCACCGGCUAACUCCGUGCCAGCAGCCGCGGUAAUACGGAGGGUGCAAGCGUUAUCCGGAUCCACUGGGUUUAAAGGGUGCGUAGGUGGGUAUGUAAGUCAGAGGUGAAAUCCCCGAGCUUAACUUGGGAACUGCCUUUGAUACUAUAUGGCUUGAAUGUCGUAGAGGUUAGCGGAAUAUGUCAUGUAGCGGUGAAAUGCUUAGAUAUGACAUAGAACACCAAUUGCGAAGGCAGCUAGCUAUGCGAUUAUUGACGCUGAGGCACGAAAGCGUGGGUAGCAAAC
rnacentral:rRNA from 1 species